UAAGUUCUUCACCUAGGAAGGAAAAAAAUCAACUGCACAACUACAAAAUGGGAAAUAACUGGCUAGGUGAUAGUACUCCUGAAGAGGAUCUGAGGG